rnacentral:rRNA from 1 species
ACCGAAUAGGGGAGCCGAAGGGAAACCGAGUCUUAACUGGGCGUUAAGUUGCAGGGUAUAGACCCGAAACCCGGUGAUCUAGCCAUGGGCAGGUUGAAGGUUGGGUAACACUAACUGGAGGACCGAACCGACUAAUGUUGAAAAAUUAGCGGAUGACUUGUGGCUGGGGGUGAAAGGCCAAUCAAACCGGGAGAUAGCUGGUUCUCCCCGAAAGCUAUUUAGGUAGCGCCUCGUGAAUUCAUCUCCGGGGGUAGAGCACUGUUUCGGCAAGGGGGUCAUCCCGACUUACCAACCCGAUGCAAACUGCGAAUACCGGAGAAUGUUAUCACGGGAGACACACGGCGGGUGCUAACGUCCGUCGUGAAGAGGGAAACAACCCAGACCGCCAGCUAAGGUCCCAAAGUCAUGGUUAAGUGGGAAACGAUGUGGGAAGGCCCAGACAGCCAGGAUGUUGGCUUAGAAGCAGCCAUCAUUUAAAGAAAGCGUAAUAGCUCACUGGUCGAGUCGGCCUGCGCGGAAGAUGUAACGGGGCUAAACCAUGCACCGAAGCUGCGGCAGCGACGCUGAUGCGUUGUUGGGUAGGGGAGCGUUCUGUAAGCCUGCGAAGGUGUGCUGUGAGGCAUGCUGGAGGUAUCAGAAGUGCGAAUGCUGACAUAAGUAACGAUAAAGCGGGUGAAAAGCCCGCUCGCCGGAAGACCAAGGGUUCCUGUCCAACGUUAAUCGGGGCAGGGUGAGUCGACCCCUAAGGCGAGGCCGAAAGGCGUAGUCGAUGGGAAACAGGUUAAUAUUCCUGUACUUGGUGUUACUGCGAAGGGGGGACGGAGAAGGCUAUGUUGGCCGGGCGACGGUUGUCCCGGUUUAAGCGUGUAGGCUGGUUUUCCAGGCAAAUCCGGAAAAUCAAGGCUGAGGCGUGAUGACGAGGCACUGCGGUGCUGAAGCAACAAAUGCCCUGCUUCCAGGAAAAGCCUCUAAGCAUCAGGUAACAUCAAAUCGUACCCCAAACCGACACAGGUGGUCAGGUAGAGAAUACCAAGGCGCUUGAGAGAACUCGGGUGAAGGAACUAGGCAAAAUGGUGCCGUAACUUCGGGAGAAGGCACGCUGAUAUGUAGGUGAAGUCCCUCGCGGAUGGAGCUGAAAUCAGUCGAAGAUACCAGCUGGCUGCAACUGUUUAUUAAAAACACAGCACUGUGCAAACACGAAAGUGGACGUAUACGGUGUGACGCCUGCCCGGUGCCGGAAGGUUAAUUGAUGGGGUUAGCGCAAGCGAAGCUCUUGAUCGAAGCCCCGGUAAACGGCGGCCGUAACUAUAACGGUCCUAAGGUAGCGAAAUUCCUUGUCGGGUAAGUUCCGACCUGCACGAAUGGCGUAAUGAUGGCCAGGCUGUCUCCACCCGAGACUCAGUGAAAUUGAACUCGCUGUGAAGAUGCAGUGUACCCGCGGCAAGACGGAAAGACCCCGUGAACCUUUACUAUAGCUUGACACUGAACAUUGAGCCUUGAUGUGUAGGAUAGGUGGGAGGCUUUGAAGUGUGGACGCCAGUCUGCAUGGAGCCGACCUUGAAAUACCACCCUUUAAUGUUUGAUGUUCUAACGUUGACCCGUAAUCCGGGUUGCGGACAGUGUCUGGUGGGUAGUUUGACUGGGGCGGUCUCCUCCUAAAGAGUAACGGAGGAGCACGAAGGUUGGCUAAUCCUGGUCGGACAUCAGGAGGUUAGUGCAAUGGCAUAAGCCAGCUUGACUGCGAGCGUGACGGCGCGAGCAGGUGCGAAAGCAGGUCAUAGUGAUCCGGUGGUUCUGAAUGGAAGGGCCAUCGCUCAACGGAUAAAAGGUACUCCGGGGAUAACAGGCUGAUACCGCCCAAGAGUUCAUAUCGACGGCGGUGUUUGGCACCUCGAUGUCGGCUCAUCACAUCCUGGGGCUGAAGUAGGUCCCAAGGGUAUGGCUGUUCGCCAUUUAAAGUGGUACGCGAGCUGGGUUUAGAACGUCGUGAGACAGUUCGGUCCCUAUCUGCCGUGGGCGCUGGAGAACUGAGGGGGGCUGCUCCUAGUACGAGAGGACCGGAGUGGACGCAUCACUGGUGUUCGGGUUGUCAUGCCAAUGGCACUGCCCGGUAGCUAAAUGCGGAAGAGAUAAGUGCUGAAAGCAUCUAAGCACGAAACUUGCCCCGAGAUGAGUUCUCCCUGACUCCUUGAGAGUCCUGAAGGAACGUUGAAGACGACGACGUUGAUAGGCCGGGUGUGUAAGCGCAGCGAUGCGUUGAGCUAACCGGUACUAAUGAACCGUGAGG